CUUGUCCAAGCUUAAACAACCCGCUCUUAGAUAAGGUUCAAUGAACUCAUUGCUUUCCUGGUAGGAGUUUUCACUCUUUGACGAAUCUACAUCAUCUUGCUUGCUGGGGCCUAGGUUAAGAGCCGUCUGAGGAAGUUUUGUCCUACGAGACUACCACUCGUUGAAAGAUGGAAACAAAGAAGGAAAACAAGGAGAAAGAACUUGCCAGUAGAGACGAGGUCAUCUAAACUGAGGGUGCUAUCCUUAUUCUGGUUCGUCCACCUCCCUCAAAGACGUUAAAGCUUGUGCCCCCAAAUUCCUCAAAGAAAAGGAAGGCCGUGUCUAAGAUGAUUGACACGGGAAACUUUCCUAGUUGUCAAGGCCAGAAAAGGCAUAAGACAUUGGACCGUCGAGCAUGCCUCUUGCCACUGCUCUCCUUGAGGGUAGUCCUUUGACUCUGCUGAGGAGUGAGACUUUAGCUUGGAACAGAUUCAAGCAAGUAGUGAAGGACAAGGACAUCAGUAUUUGCUAUGACAUGUCUGUCAAGGAGUUUGAAUGCUCAAUCUUCCACGAUCUCUUUGAGAUAACGUUUUUCAUCCACAACCCCUCACGAAUUAUAUUGUUAAAUCAUAUUCUAACACAAAUUACGUGCUAUCAUUUUGUGUUGCAGGUUAUGUCUAAGUUCAUGGCAGUGUCCAGGCAAGCCACGGGUUUGGAUAAGGAGAGGAUUAGGUUGGCGGCCAAAAUCUAUGAUAUGGACAAGGAGGAAAGUUAGAAAGUCGAGGAGAGGAUAAAGCUAGAGGACAAGGUGAAGCGUUUAUCGUUUGAGGUGAGAGAGCUAAAAAAUUUAACUGAGGAGCUUAGAACUGAUAUCGUUGACAAAGAGUCUCGUCUUGACCAUCUCCAAAAGAAGAGUGACGAGCUCGCUUCUUCUCUAAGUAAGGCCAAGGACGAGGCUGUCAAUGAGUUCAAGGCGUCUAGUGAAUUUUCCAAGCUCUUGGACAAGAAUUACACUGUAGACUUUGAGGAUUUUCGUUAGGCCACUAGUGAAGCCUUCCCUGGGGUAAAUUUUAGUUAUAUCAAGCUUCCCAUUGCUUCUGAGAGUUCCUUGCUCCCUACCAGCUUAGAGGAGAUCAACAUUGAGGAUGAUUCUAUCACCUCUCUUCCUCCUAAGGACGAUGCUAAGUUUGGGGACGUUGUUCCCAAUGGUUUAUCACAGUCGUGUUCAUUUGUAAGCAAUAUUUAUUUAUUUGUGUUAUUGGGGUCUGUUGUUUUGGACCAUUUUCUAAUUUUCUUAAAUACAUUUACUUCGUCCAUGAGUAUGGACGUAAGCUUUAUACAUUGACCUUUUUGGCUUAACUUUU